AUUGAACGCUGGCGGCAUGCCUUACACAUGCAAGUCGAACGGUAACAGGUCUUCGGAUGCUGACGAGUGGCGAACGGGUGAGUGAUACAUCGGAACGUGCCUAGUAGUGGGGGAUAACUACUCGAAAGAGUGGCUAAUACCGCAUGAGAUCUACGGAUGAAAGCAAGGGAUCGCAAGACCUUGUGCUACUAGAGCGGCCGAUGGCAGAUUAGGUAGUUGGUGGGAUAAAAGCUUACCAAGCCGACGAUCUGUAGCUGGUCUGAGAGGACGAGCAGCCACACUGGGACUUAGACACGGCCCAGACUCCUACGGGAGGCAGCAGUGGGGAAUUUUGGACAAUGGGCGCAAGCCUGAUCCAGCAAUGCCGCGUGCAGGAUGAAGGCAUUCGGGUUGUAAACUGCUUUUGUACGGAACGAAAAGCCCUGGGUUAAUACCCUGGGGUCAUGACGGUACCGUAAGAUUAAGCACCGGCUAACUACGUGCCAGCAGCCGCCGUAA
rnacentral:rRNA from 1 species